rnacentral:rRNA from 1 species
UACUAGCGGUCCAAGUCGCAGCCAUUUUUAUUGGGUCUAAAACAUCCGUAGCUUGUUCGGUAAGUUUCUUGUGAAAUCUUGUCUCUUAAAGACAGGGCGGGCAGGAAAUACUGCCGGGCUAGAGACCGGGAGACGUAAUGAGUACGACUAAAGUAACGGUAAAAUGUUUUAAUCUUAGUCGGACUAACAAUAGCGAAGGCACAUUACGAGAACGGUUCUGACAGUAAGGGAUGAAAGCUAGGGGCGCAAAACGGAUUAGAUACCCCCGUA